rnacentral:lncRNA from 1 species
AAAACGUAUAUGAUACAUCUGCCAAAGCUGCUGCAAUGCAAGAUAAAAUGUCUUGCAAAAAAAAUAUAUGUAUCGGCGGGGAUUUGAUCCCUGGAUCUCCUGAUUCCACGUCUACACGCUGUCCAGUUGGGCUACAAUCCAACUUUAGACAAAACAUGGGAUUUGCGCUAGAUGUAUCAUACCAUGCUGCUGACUGAACCAGGUGCAGAACAGAUGGUCCUUUCUCUGUUGUCGGUGCUGGAGUUACAGGCUGCAGGUUCGGCGGCACGGCUUCAGGUCAGGCCUUGCCUGAUGGUGGAGCUCCGUCCAUGGGGACACGACGACGCACCAGGUCAAGGCAAGGGCCUCUAGAUCCGGUCGGGGUUGCGGCCUUGCGACGGCUUGGACAGGCAAGCUCCAUGGGGCGGCGACCAUGGCAGGAUCCGGCGGGUUCUGCACGGGGGCGGCGAGGGUGAUAGGGUCCUGGCCGAAGGCGACGGGGACGAACCAGAUCGGGCCUGAUCCGGGGGCGUCCAUCCCGUUCCCAAAGGCGUCGAGGUCCAGGCUUGACGUCCAUGGCGGCGAUUUAGGACCUCCUCUGCUGUUCCUGCGGGUCAGAGAAGAGGGAGAGAUAGAACGUGAGGGAGAGAGGAAGGUAGGCAGAGAGAUGGAGAGGCGGAGGAAGGGCGGCUCGAGGGGACCAGCGUGGUCGGCCUGCUGGUGGAGCUCCGAGGAGGCCGGUCGGCAAGGUGAAGUUGGGGCUCCGGCCACCACGGCGGGAGCUGCUACUCCUGCUUGUUGCCGGGCUACUGGUACGCGGGCACGUCCACGAGGAGAGGAGCCGCGGGAUGGAUUUGGCUACAGUUUUGCUUGGCGGAGAAAACGAGGUGGGC